GACGAACGCUGGCGGCGCGCUUAACACAUGCAAGUCGAGCGAUGAAAUCUUGACAGAUCCCUUCGGGGUGAAGAUAAGAUGGAUUAGCGGCGGACGGGUGAGUAACACGUGAGUAACCUGCCUUAGACAUUGGGAUAGCCUCGGGAAACCGGGAUUAAUACCAAAUGAAAUCAUAGGUGCCCAUGCACUAAUGAUCAAAACUCCGGUGGUCUAAGAUGGACUCGCGUCCCAUUAGCUAGUUGGUGAGGUAAUGGCCCACCAAGGCGACGAUGGGUAGCCGGCCUGAGAGGGUGAACGGCCACAUUGGAACUGAGAAACGGUCCAAACUCCUACGGGAGGCAGCAGUGGGGAAUAUUGCACAAUGGAGGGAACUCUGAUGCAGCGACGCCGCGUGAACGAUGAAGGCUUUCGAGUCGUAAAGUUCUUUUAUAUGGGAAGAUAAUGACGGUAGCAUAAGAAAAAGCCCCGGCUAACUACGUG
rnacentral:rRNA from 1 species